rnacentral:lncRNA from 1 species
AAGAAACGCUGACGGGCAAAGUGGCUAAAGGUUGCCGCAGUACUUUCACCAUCUGGCAUGAGGACUUCAUUAGACUACAGCUAACGAGAGAAACAUUUCGAGGAGCACAAUAUCGGUUGACAUCGAUUCAUCACUCAAGCGCUGACGAAAAUAACCAGUAGAGGGAUCACCGAUCGAGCGAAGCAAGCGUCCGAAGAAAAAUGGUUACCAGCAUGCUCUAGUCCAGGUCAAGAUGGAACCUCUUCUACCAAGAGAAAGAGAGCGAGAUGGAGAGCAAAACGCAAGACUGCAAAAGGAGAAAGAGAGAAAGAGAAAGAGAAGGAGAGAAAGAGAGAGAGAGAAAGAGAGACGGAGGGAGCAAGACGAAGAAACAGAAUACGUUCUCUUGGCACUGCGGCAAGGCGGAUGCUGUAGGGACGUGAGAUUCUUGGCAACCGGGCGGAGUUGCCUGCUAACUCCGUACCACCAUAAGGAUCGCGGUCGUUGGAUGUUUAUAUUCGUGAUAGUACCUCUCUCUGUCCCCAAAUAACCGGCCGAAUGGCGACCAAUUCUCGUGCUGGUACGACAUAUUGGGCGCCUCCGAAUAGCGACUCCAAAUAGCGACUCCAAAUAGCGGGCAUCCGCGCGGCACCGCUCGUUGAGAGAAAGAAAUAUAGUCGCGAUAUAGCGAUGAAGGCGGUUUGUAC